UCUUUCUUUCCUUUCCUUGCUGCGAAACCGGAACCCAUUUCCGGCGAAAUCACCGCCACCGUCCGCACCACCGGCCAUUAGAGGAUCCUCUCUUCCUCCUCUUGCAUCUAAGCUUGUUUUGAUCUAUGGAGGAAGAUUUGAAGGUGUUUGAGCGUGUGAACAGUAACGUGAACAGUAACUGUCGGGUUCUUGGUUUUUGUUUGAUUUCUCCGGCCUUUUCUGCUUGAUUUUGGUUGUUGUUGCAGGACGGAUUGAUCCCUUGAGCGAGGGGAUACGGGUAGGCAGCAGGAUUAGCUGCGAGACUCACCUCUUGUUUUGAUCUAUGGAGGAAGAUUUGAAGGUGUUUGAGCGUGUGAACAGUAACGUGAACAGUAACUGUCGGGUUCUUGGUUUUUGUUUGAUUUCUCCGGCCUUUUCUGCUUGAUUUUGGUUGUUGUUGCAGGACGGAUUGAUCCCUUGAGCGAGGGGAUACGGGUAGGCAGCAGGAUUAGCUGCGAGACUCACCUUUUGCAGGCGAAUGAGUUGAGGUCGGGCGUACACGAAAUUGAGGCAUAGUCAGCAGCAUGGCUUCCGCAUCUGCCUUUGAAUUAGGUUUUCCUCAUAUACCUUUCUGUUAGAAUUGCUCUGAUUACCUAUGGGAUUUAUGUUAUUCAAGUUGAGAUAUGUGUUUUGUGAAUUGGAGAUUGAUGUUGAUUUGGGGAGCAGGGUGGCUCCAGGGGCAUAAGGAUGAUUCGAUUGAGAAGUGUAAAUGUUCCCUACAGGUUUGGGUUGCCCAUUUUAGGGGAAGUUCCGCCAAAUUUUUGGUAGAAUUUCUUCUAAGGUGGGCCCCGCAGGGUCACUUCGGAUUUCAGGGUGAAAUCCGGGGCGGGUCCUGUCAGUUGGUAUCAGAGCAUUAGGUUGUCAGAUUCUGUAGACUUGUUUCUAUCCUGU